ACAGCUAUUGAACGGAAGGAUUUCUCAUAGUUUUAAAAAUUAAGUGAUUUAGGAGUUAGGAUACUAUUUCAAAAAAUCUUUUAUUUUAAUAGUAUUUGAGACAAAUUUAAAUGGGCCAUUGAGAUAAAGUUGCCAACUAGUUGCAACACCUUGAAAUUCAAAGGACACGUUAAAAAACCAACAAAAUUAUAUAGAAAUUAUUUUGGGAAAAGGCAUAAAAGAAUGAGGAGAAAAAUGAUAGGUGAACAAUAAUAUUUUAGACACUAACUAAACUUGAUAAAUCAAAACCACUUCACUAAACCAAAAACACAUUACAUAUCUUCAACAAUUAUCAACACAAGCUGCCAACAUAAAACCAUAACAUAAGGUGGUCCAACUCUUCUUCCGAGUCAACAAAUAUAUAAAAAAAGCUUUUCAUGUAAAAUUUAUAAUAAACCCAUGAACACACAAUUUUAAAGAUUCGUUAUCAAACAAAACCAGCUGAACAAUCUCUGAAACAAUUUAUAACAAAAAAAUCAACAAAACUAACAUAAAAGCAAAAAAGAUAGUACAUAAUAAAUUAUUCAGCAAACAGACAGAAGAAAAGAGGCAAAGGGAGGAGAAGAAUAGAGGGGAUCGGGAAUAUUUUGGGGGUUUUGGAGAGAGAAAGUGAAAGAGAGGUUUCUCAUCAAAUUACAACUCAAUAACAGGCAUUCUCAAAUAAUAACACUCUAUAACAGCAGAACAAAUGUGCUCUGCUUUCUAUUUUAACACCACCCAUUAUAACCCAGAAUAAUAUUCAUAAAUCAAAAAGUUGUCUAUCAACACAAACAAAUCUGCAUAUUCCAAUUUUUGAAAAUCAAAACACAAAAUAUAAAACAAAAAGGCUAAUUCAACACUAAAAGCAAUAAAAUACAUCUAUCCACGUCUAAUUUUGUUACGUUGUAGUGAAUCGACGGAUUAGUCGCGAGGAGAUGGGCGGCGCGGGAAGAAAUGGGCGGCGAGCGAGGAGAUGGGAAGCGAGUAAGAGAGAGGCAGCGGAGAGAGCAGGAGAGAGGCAAAUGGGUUAGUGUUGUUUUG
rnacentral:lncRNA from 1 species